ACUUAUAUUCUGUAGCAAGGUUAACCGAAUAGGGGAGCCGAAGGGAAACCGAGUCUUAACUGGGCGUUAAGUUGCAGGGUAUAGACCCGAAACCCGGUGAUCUAGCCAUGGGCAGGUUGAAGGUUGGGUAACACUAACUGGAGGACCGAACCGACUAAUGUUGAAAAAUUAGCGGAUGACUUGUGGCUGGGGGUGAAAGGCCAAUCAAACCGGGAGAUAGCUGGUUCUCCCCGAAAGCUAUUUAGGUAGCGCCUCGUGAAUUCAUCUCCGGGGGUAGAGCACUGUUUCGGCAAGGGGGUCAUCCCGACUUACCAACCCGAUGCAAACUGCGAAUACCGGAGAAUGUUAUCACGGGAGACACACGGCGGGUGCUAACGUCCGUCGUGAAGAGGGAAACAACCCAGACCGCCAGCUAAGGUCCCAAAGUCAUGGUUAAGUGGGAAACGAUGUGGGAAGGCCCAGACAGCCAGGAUGUUGGCUUAGAAGCAGCCAUCAUUUAAAGAAAGCGUAAUAGCUCACUGGUCGAGUCGGCCUGCGCGGAAGAUGUAACGGGGCUAAACCAUGCACCGAAGCUGCGGCAGCGACGCUUAUGCGUUGUUGGGUAGGGGAGCGUUCUGUAAGCCUGGAAGGUGUCUGUGAGGAUGCUGGAGGUAUCAGAAGUGCGAAUGCUGACAUAAGUAACGAUAAAGCGGGUGAAAAGCCCGCUCGCCGGAAGACCAAGGGUUCCUGUCCAACGUUAAUCGGGGCAGGGUAGUCGACCCCUAAGGCGAGGCCGAAAGGCGUAGUCGAUGGGAAACAGGUUAAUAUUCCUGUACUUGGUGUUACUGCGAAGGGGGGACGGAGAAGGCUAUGUUGGCCGGGCGACGGUUGUCCCGGUUUAAGCGUGUAGGCUGGUUUUCCAGGCAAAUCCGGAAAAUAAGGCUGAGGCGUGAUGACGAGGCACUAGGUGCUGAAGCAACAAAUGCCCUGCUUCCAGGAAAAGCCUCUAAGCAUCAGGUAACAUCAAAUCGUACCCCAAACCGACACAGGUGGUCAGGUAGAGAAUACCAAGGCGCUUGAGAGAACUCGGGUGAAGGAACUAGGCAAAAUGGUGCCGUAACUUCGGGAGAAGGCACGCUGAUAUGUAGGUGAAGUCCCUCGCGGAUGGAGCUGAAAUCAGUCGAAGAUACCAGCUGGCUGCAACUGUUUAUUAAAAACACAGCACUGUGCAAACACGAAAGUGGACGUAUACGGUGUGACGCCUGCCCGGUGCCGGAAGGUUAAUUGAUGGGGUCAGCGCAAGCGAAGCUCUUGAUCGAAGCCCCGGUAAACGGCGGCCGUAACUAUAACGGUCCUAAGGUAGCGAAAUUCCUUGUCGGGUAAGUUCCGACCUGCACGAAUGGCGUAAUGAUGGCCAGGCUGUCUCCACCCGAGACUCAGUGAAAUUGAACUCGCUGUGAAGAUGCAGUGUACCCGCGGCAAGACGGAAAGACCCCGUGAACCUUUACUAUAGCUUGACACUGAACAUUGAGCCUUGAUGUGUAGGAUAGGUGGGAGGCUUUGAAGUGUGGACGCCAGUCUGCAUGGAGCCGACCUUGAAAUACCACCCUUUAAUGUUUGAUGUUCUAACGUUGACCCGUAAUCCGGGUUGCGGACAGUGUCUGGUGGGUAGUUUGACUGGGGCGGUCUCCUCCUAAAGAGUAACGGAGGAGCACGAAGGUUGGCUAAUCCUGGUCGGACAUCAGGAGGUUAGUGCAAUGGCAUAAGCCAGCUUGACUGCGAGCGUGACGGCGCGAGCAGGUGCGAAAGCAGGUCAUAGUGAUCCGGUGGUUCUGAAUGGAAGGGCCAUCGCUCAACGGAUAAAAGGUACUCCGGGGAUAACAGGCUGAUACCGCCCAAGAGUUCAUAUCGACGGCGGUGUUUGGCACCUCGAUGUCGGCUCAUCACAUCCUGGGGCUGAAGUAGGUCCCAAGGGUAUGGCUGUUCGCCAUUUAAAGUGGUACGCGAGCUGGGUUUAGAACGUCGUGAGACAGUUCGGUCCCUAUCUGCCGUGGGCGCUGGAGAACUGAGGGGGGCUGCUCCUAGUACGAGAGGACCGGAGUGGACGCAUCACUGGUGUUCGGGUUGUCAUGCCAAUGGCACUGCCCGGUAGCUAAAUGCGGAAGAGAUAAGUGCUGAAAGCAUCUAAGCACGAAACUUGCCCCGAGAUGAGUUCUCCCUGACUCCUUGAGAGUCCUGAAGGAACGUUGAAGACGACGACGUUGAUAGGCCGGGUGUGUAAGCGCAGCGAUGCGUUGAGCUAACCGGUACUAAUGAACCGUGAGGCUUAACCU
rnacentral:rRNA from 1 species